AGAUUGAACGCUGGCGGCAUGCCUAACACAUGCAAGUCGAGCGGCAGCGCGGGGGCGACCCUGGCGGCGAGCGGCGGACGGGUGAGUAAGGCAUCGGAAUCUGCCCUGAUGUGGGGGAUAACGUAGGGAAACUUACGCUAAUACCGCAUACGACCGAGAGUGAAAGCGGGGGACCAAAGGCCUCGCGCAGCAGGAUGAGCCGAUGUCCGAUUAGCUAGUUGGUGGGGUAACGCCUACCAAGGCGACGAUCGGUAGCUGGUCUGGAGAGGACGACCAGCCACACUGGGACUGAGACACGGCCCAGGCUCCGUACGGGGAGGCAGCCUGAGC
rnacentral:rRNA from 1 species